GCAGUCCCCAGGUGAGCUCGCUGUUCGGAAGGCCCGGGUCUCUGCAGCAAACAAGGCUCCCAGGUGCCUGUCGUGGAGGGGUACCACGGUGCCCGCGCUGGGCUCGGUGCUUGCGAGGCUUCCAGAUCCCUCCGCUCUGCCCUCCGGCAGAAGGGAUCCACGCCUUCGUGCGGACUGGGGCUUGCAAACAGGCAGGUGCCACGUCCCCCACCGGGCCACGCCUGCGAACCGGCCUCUCCAGACCCUCGCCUGUGCGGCUGGAGCCUGCUCAGUAGGCGCCCCGUCGGCCCGCGGAGGGCAGCUGGGGGUAUCAGCCUGUGGAGCGCGGGGAGGGGGCCACAUGCACGGCCUGCAGGCUGGAGGGGCCACCACCCACACCUCUCUCUUGGAUGCCCCUCUCAAGCGGCCAAGCGCAGUCCCAGCUUGGAACGGCCGCCUAAGGCUCCGGGCUUACCCUCCUCAAGGCUCCCAGGUGUGUCUUAUCAAAGGACAGCACCGUCCGGGGGCUCAGGGCCACCCGGGCCAGAUAGUCCCAGUUCCUCCAGCUCCGGCUGAGAGGGUAGCACACCCAGCUAGGCAGGUUGCACCCACCUGGGGCGCAAGUAUGUAGGGCACAUGGACCCCCUACGGCCGAGCCUGGAGACGCGGCCACACCCCACCCUCGCCGCGCCCGCUGUCCUGGGCUCCCCUGACCCGGGCAGCUCGUACAAGCGGCAUACACACCCCGGCAGCCAGCGGAGCCCUGGACCCCGGUGGAAAUCCGGAAGAGCCGGAAUCACCCAGCAGCCUCCACAACGAAAACAGGCACCCCCUCCACCCAAACACUCUCUCAGGCACCCGCGGGGCUCGCACCUGCGCACCAGGCCCCCUCCCCCGUGUGUGGAGCCGGGGCCCUCUGCCUGUGGAGCUCCGUCCACACCAGAACCACCCGGACAGCCUUCCAGGAGGAGAGAUCCCAACCCGAGAAUCUCUCUGAGCCAGCAGCUUGAAUGCAGCAGCAGUCAGUCCUCUCCGGCCUCUCCAGCCAUCAAGGCUCCCCUCCCGGGUCUUUGGGGGAGGAUUCACUAGGAUUCACCAGCCCGCUGGCCCCGCCCAGACCUGGAAAGGUAGUACACUUGCCUCUAGACCGGCCUUCGGGGGGGCACAUGUGCCCGAGUGUGAACUAAGUCUCUGAACGAGGCCGACCCAGGCCCCAAGCAGCCUCCUCCUGUGACCUGGCCCCUUCCUACAGCCGCCCUGUUCCGGGUCCCGGGCUGCACCACCCGCGGGGCUCGCACAUGCGCACCAGGCCCCUCUCCCCCGUGUGUGGAGCCGGGGCCCUCUGCCUGUGGAGCUCCGUCCACACCAGAACCACCUGGACGGCCUUCCAGGGCCGGAGCCCUCCCCCCACAACAUGUCUCUGAGGGGGCACUGAGCCCCCAGGGUGGCAGCUGCCUGCCUGAAGGGUCCCGGGCUCCACCUCCUGCCCCUGCUUUGGGGCCUGGGACCCCCGCGCCUCCCGGCAGCCGGAA